rnacentral:rRNA from 1 species
CCCUUAGAUGUCCUGGGCCGCACGCGCGUUACACUGAUGCAUUCAACGAGCUUAUAACCUUGGCCGAGAGGCCUGGGCAAUCUUGUUAACGUGCAUCGUGAUAGGGAUAGAUUAUUGAAAUUAUUAAUCUUGAACGAGGAAUUCCUAGUAAACGCAGAUCAUCAAUCUGCAUUGAUUACGUCCCUGCCCUUUGUACACACCGCCCGUCGCUACUACCGAUUGAAUGGUUUAGUGAGGUCCUCGGACUAGUGGCGAUCGCUCGAGCUCUGCUCUGUGGUCGUUCUGCCGGGAAGACGAUCGAACUUGAUCAUUUAGAGGAAGUAAAAGUCGUAACA